rnacentral:rRNA from 1 species
UACGUAGGGUGCAAGCGUUGUCCGGAAUUAUUGGGCGUAAAGAGCUAGCGUAGGCGGCUCUGUUGCGUCGGCUGUGAAAACCCGGGGCUCAACUCCGGGCCUGCAGCCGAUACGGGCAGACUAGAGUUCGGCAGGGGAGACUGGAAUUCCUGGUGUAGCGGUGAAAUGCGCAGAUAUCAGGAGGGAACGCCGGUGGCGAAAGGCGGGUCUCUGGGCCGAUACUGACGCUGAGGAGCGAAAGCGUGGGGAGCGAACAGG